UCCUUUCAGGGUGCGGAUCUGAGGGUUGGGAAGGUCAAGGGCCGUGUGCUGUCAGGCUACGUCCGGCCCUCGCCCCCUCCCCACAGCGGGUACCACCGCUACCAGGUCCGCCUGUACGCACAGCCAGCCCAUGAGCACAUCUCCCUGAGCCCCGAGGAGGACGCCUCGCUGGGUUCCUGGGACCUGAAGGGCUUCGUGGAAGACUUUGGGCUGGGUUACCCUGUGGCCAAGACCCAGUUCCUCACCAAAUACUACGAGGAUUAACUCCAGCUACCACGCCCUUCCCCUGCACCCCCUCACACCACAGAGCCACCUCCUCCCGGAGCUCAGGGGACCCCAGGACCCACCCAGGGUGCGCCCACCCUGCUCCCCACCCAGAUCCACAGCCCCAGCCCCUCCAUUCCCACACCUGAGUUCCCCUUUCCCAUCCCCAGCGGUGUCCCAGCUCACCCUGGCUAUCCCAGGAAGGGAUGGCGUCACCUCUUCUCCUCCCCUCACCCCGUUUUCCAGACCUUACCCCCCCAGCAUGUCCCUCCUGCACUUUGGGGACCUUGAGUAGUUCUAAUGCCUGCAGUUUCCAGAAUAAAGUAUGGAUGGAGCACACGGGGGAGUCACGGGCUCCUUGCUGGCAG